UGCAGCAGAAGCAUCUGGGGUGUCUACAAGACCCUGUAGGUGUUGCACUGUACACGAAGGUGGGGACAGUCCAGAAGGGCAUCAAAGAGCUGGACAUCCUUAGGUGUGGUAGGGGGUCUUCCUCCCUGGAGAGUUUUCACCGACACCAGUGUGCUUUUAUUCCAGGCUGGCGGUGCAAUGCUUUACAUACGCAAAUGUACAUGCUGGAGGGGAUAUCAAGAUGGAACAUGGGCCGGGCCAAGGAGGCAGUAGAUGUGGAGGGGGCCUCAACCCUAAGAAGCUUUGUCCAGGCUCUGCUCCUGGACAAGCAGUUGCUGAAGGACAGCAGGGUUGUCCUGGACCAGACAAACCUGGUUCUGGUGCCGGUUAACAACACCACAGUCUCUUCAUGGCUGCUUAGGAGGGAUAAGAGGAAGGACAGGGACAUGCUGCUGCAAGGCACUGUUCUUCCUAAACAGCUGCAUCUGGCCAAGGAGCCUCUCCCUGCAAGUAGCUCACUUCCGGCUUCCCCUGUGCAACAUGCACAUGAAAAAAUUACAUUUGAGGAGCCUGAA